GAUGAACGUUGGCGGCAGGUUUGACACAUGCAAGUCGAACGGUAGAGGGGAGCUUGCUCCCCUUGAGAGUGGCGAACGGCUGAGUAACACGUAGGAACGUACCCCACAGACAGGGAUAACAGACCGAAAGGCCUGCUAAUACCUGAUAUAUCCUUCGGGAGGAAAUGGUCCGCCGCUGUGGGAGCGGCCUGCGGCGUAUUAGGUAGUAGGUGAGGUAAUGGCUCACCUAGCCUGUGAUGCGUAGCUGGUCUGAGAGGAUGAUCAGCCAGACUGGGACUGAGACACGGCCCAGACUCCUACGGGAGGCAGCAGUUCAGAAUCUUGCACAAUGGGCGAAAGCCUGAUGCAGCCAUGCCGCGUGAGCGAAGAAGGCCCUCGGGUCGUAAAGCUCUGUCAGAGGGGAAGAUAAUGACGGUACCCUCAAAGGAAGCAACGGCUAAUUACGUG
rnacentral:rRNA from 1 species